rnacentral:rRNA from 1 species
UGCCUGUACCAUAACCGACACAGGUGGGUAAGUAGAGUAUACUAAGGGGCGCGAGAUAACUCUCUCUAAGGAACUCGGCAAAAUAACUCCGUAACUUCGGGAGAAGGAGUGCCUUAUUCUUAGGGUUGCAAUAACAAGAUCCAAGCAACUGUUUAUCAAAAACACAGGUCUCCGCUAAGUCGUAAGACGAUGUAUGGGGGCUGACGCCUGCCCAGUGCCAGAAGGUUAAAGAAGUCGGUUAGCAAUAGCAAAGCUGGUAACUGAAGCCCUGGUGAACGGCGGCCGUAACAAUAACGGUCCUAAGGUAGCGAAAUUCCUUGUCGGGUAAGUUCCGACCCGCACGAAAGGCGUAAUGAUUUGGAUGCUGUCUCGGAGAGGGGCUCGGUGAAAUAGACUUGUCUGUGAAGAUGCGGACUACCUGCACCAGGACAGAAAGACCCUAUGAAGCUUUACUGUAACUUGAAAUUGAAAUUGGACUUUAUUCGCGCAGUAUAGGUGGGAGGCGUUGAUUAUAAUCUUUGGGAUUAUUGGAGCCAUCAGUGAGAUACCACUCUUGUAAUGUUAGAUUUCUAACUUUGAAUCAUUAUCUGGUCAAAGGACAGUUUCAGGCGGGCAGUUUGACUGGGGCGGUCGCCUCCUAAACGGUAACGGAGGCGUACAAAGGUUUCCUCUGAACGGUUAGAAAUCGUAUCUAGAGUGUAAAGGCAUAAGGAAGCUUGACUGUGAGACCUACAAGUCGAGCAGGGACGAAAGUCGGUCUUAGUGAUCUGACGGUACUGAGUGGAAAGGCCGUCACUCAACGGAUAAAAGUUACUCUAGGAUAACAGGCUGAUCUCCCCCAAGAGUUCACAUCGACGGGGAGGUUUGGCACCUUGAUGUCGGCUCAUCGCAUCCUGGGGCGGUAGUACGUCCCAAGGGUUGGGCUGUUCGCCCAUGAAAGCGGUACGCGAGCUGGGUUCAGAACGUCGUGAGACAGUUCGGUCCAUAUCCGGUGUAGGCGCUAGAAUAUUGAGAGGAGCCUUCUUUAGUACGAGAGGACCGAGAAGGACAUACCUCUGGUGUACCAGUUAUCGUGCCAACGGUAAACGCUGGGUAGCUAUGUAUGGAGUGGAUAACCGCUGAAAGCAUCUAAGUGGGAAGCCCACCUCAAGAUAAGUAUUCUCAUCACGUAAGUGAGUAAGGUCACGGUAAGGCUAACCGUUUGAUAGGCAUUAAGUGUAAGUACAGUAAUGUAUGUGCUGAGAUGUCCUAAUAGACCGAGGAC